rnacentral:rRNA from 1 species
UUUUCGGAGAGUUUGAUCCUGGCUCAGGACGAACGCUGGCGGCGUGCCUAAUACAUGCAAGUCGAGCGGACAGAAGGGAGCUUGCUCCCGGAUGUUAGCGGCGGACGGGUGAGUAACACGUGGGUAACCUGCCUGUAAGAYUGGGAUAACUCCGGGAAACCGGAGCUAAUACCGGAUAGUUCCUUGAACCGCAUGGUUCAAGGAUGAAAGACGGUUUCGGCUGUCACUUACAGAUGGACCCGCGGCGCAUUAGCUAGUUGGUGGGGUAAUGGCUCACCAAGGCGACGAUGCGUAGCCGACCUGAGAGGGUGAUCGGCCACACUGGGACUGAGACACGGCCCAGACUCCUACGGGAGGCAGCAGUAGGGAAUCUUCCGCAAUGGACGAAAGUCUGACGGAGCAACGCCGCGUGAGUGAUGAAGGUUUUCGGAUCGUAAAGCUCUGUUGUUAGGGAAGAACAAGUGCGAGAGUAACUGCUCGCACCUUGACGGUACCUAACCAGAAAGCCACGGCUAACUACGUGCCAGCAGCCGCGGUAAUACGUAGGUGGCAAGCGUUGUCCGGAAUUAUUGGGCGUAAAGGGCUCGCAGGCGGUUUCUUAAGUCUGAUGUGAAA